GGUAGUCAGUACUCCACUCGGUCCAGUGGCAGAAGCAUAAAGCACUAGGCUUGUGGUCCAUUGAUACAAAAGGCCGAAAACGUGCUCCACCCCGGCAAGCAGUGUGUUGGCUCGGCGUUUGAGGGAGUGGGGCGACUGAUAGAUGAAAGGAUGAGCGGUCAAUGUUGACGAGGAAGGUAUGAUACGAGCGGACCUGCAGAUUAAUUCAAACAGAAGAAUUAAAUGCCAGUCAAAGCAUAGAUAUCCAAUGGACUUGGAAAGGAAGCAUCAACAUUGGCGGCCUCUUGUCUGACUCGUAUAUUCCCCAUGAAGCUCUUUCUCAUCCAUGGACGAUGUUAGUUGAAGCUUACUCUGGUCUAUGGACUUUCUUAGGUAAGAAUUUUGUUUAUUGCUAA